ACGCUGGCGGCAGGCUUAACACAUGCAAGUCGAACGGUAACAGAAAAUAGCUUGCUAUUUUGCUGACGAGUGGCGGACGGGUGAGUAAUGCUUGGGAAUAUGCCUUAUGGUGGGGGACAACAGUUGGAAACGACUGCUAAUACCGCAUAAUAUCUUCGGAUUAAAGACCUUCGGGCCUCGCGCCAUUUGAGUGGCCCAAGUGGGAUUAGCUAGUUGGUAAGGUAAUGGCUUACCAAGGCGACGAUCCCUAGCUGGUCUUAGAGGAUGACCAGCCACACUGGAACUGAGACACGGUCCAGACUCCUACGGGAGGCAGCAGUGGGGAAUAUUGCACAAUGGAGGAAACUCUGAUGCAGCCAUGCCGCGUGUGUGAAGAAGGCUUUCGGGUUGUAAAGCACUUUCAGUGGGGAGGAAAGGGUUGUAGUUAAUAGCUGCAAUCUGUGACGUUACCCACAGAAGAAGCACCGGCUAACUCCGUGCCAGCAGCCGCGGUAAUACGGAGGGUCCGAGCGUUAAUCGGAAUUACUGGGCGUAAAGCGUACGCAGGCGGUUUGUUAAGCGAGAUGUGAAAGCCCCGGGCUCAACCUGGGAACUGCAUUUCGAACUGACAAACUAGAGUUUUGUAGAGGGUAGUGGAAUUCCCGGUGUAGAGGUGAAAUUCGUAGAUAUCGGGAGGAAUACCAGUGGCGAAGGCGACUACCUGGCCAAAUACUGACACUGAGGUGCGAAAGCGUGGGGAGCAAACAGGAUUAGAUACCCCGUUAGUCCACGCCGUAAACGAUGUCUACUAGCAGCUCGGGUCCUCGGACUUGUUUUGCAAAGCUAACGCAUUAAGUAGACCGCCUGGGGAGUACGGCCGCAAGGUUAAAACUCAAAUGAAUUGACGGGGGCCCGCACAAGCGGUGGAGCAUGUGGUUUAAUUCGAUGCAACGCGAAGAACCUUACCUGGUCUUGACAUCCCGAAAAUUUACUAGAGAUAGUUUAGUGCCUUCGAGAAUUUGGUGACAGGUGCUGCAUGGCUGUCGUCAGCUCGUGUCGUGAGAUGUUGGGUUAAGUCCCGCAACGAGCGCAACCCUCGCCAUUAGUUGCCAGCAUUAAGUUGGGCACUCUAAUGGGACUGCCGGUGUCAAACCGGAGGAAGGCGGGGAUGACGUCAAGUCCUCAUGGCCUUUAUGACCAGGGCUACACACGUACUACAAUGCCCGAUACAAAGGGCAGCCCCUAAAAGCCGGUCGCAGUCCGGAUUGGAGUCUGCAACUCGACUCCAUGAAGCUGGAAUCACUAGUAAUCGUGGAUCAGCAUGUCGCGGUGAAUACGUUCCCGGGCCUUGUAGACACCGCCCGUCACACCACGGGAGUUGGUUGUACUAGAAGCGGUUGAGCUAACCUUCGGGAGGCGCAGCCAACCACGGUAGGUUCAGUGACUGGGGUGAAGUCGUAACAAGGUAACC
rnacentral:rRNA from 1 species